GACGAACGCUGGCGGCGUGCUUAACACAUGCAAGUCGAACGGAAAGGCCUGCUUUCCCUUGUGGAUUGCGGGUACUCGAGUGGCGAACGGGUGAGUAACACGUGAGUGAUCUGCCCCCAACUUGGGUAUAAGCCUGGGAAACUGGGUCUAAUUCCCGAUAGGACUGCAGGGUGGUGCCUGUGGUGGAAAACGAUGUUCUAGUGGUUGGGGAUGAGCUCGCGGCCUAUCAGCUUGUUGGCGGGGUAAUGGCCUACCAAGGCGGCGCCGGGUAGCCGGCCUGAGAGGGUGGACGGCCACAUUGGGACUGAGAUACGGCCCAGACUCCUACGGGAGGCAGCAGUGGGGAAUAUUGCACAAUGGGCGGAAGCCUGAUGCAGCGACGCCGCGUGGGGGAUGACGGCCUUCGGGUUGUAAACUCCUUUCGACCGCGAGGAAGCCACCUGGUUGGAAGGGUGGUGACGGUAGUGGUAGAAGAAGCACCGGCUAACUACGUG
rnacentral:rRNA from 1 species